GGCAGUUCUUGGGUGAUGCACCCUGGAAUCGGGCUCCCUCCUCUCUGGUUGCGGGUGUGUCACCGAGAACUGCA
rfam:Myotis davidii contig154718, whole genome shotgun sequence.